rnacentral:rRNA from 1 species
AACGCUGGCGGCGCGCUUAACACAUGCAAGUCGAACGAGAAAGUGGAGCAAUCCAUGAGUAAAGUGGCGCACGGGUGAGUAACACGUGGGUAAUCUGCCUUUGGGUGGGGAAUAACUCUGGGAAACCGGAGCUAAUACCGCAUAAGCCUGUAAAGGGAAAGGCGAAAGUCGCCGAGAGAGGAGCCCGCGGCCGAUUAGCUAGUUGGUGGGGUAAAAGCUCACCAAGGCUGAGAUCGGUAGCCGGCCUGAGAGGGCACACGGCCACACUGGCACUGAAACACGGGCCAGACUCCUACGGGAGGCAGCAGUGGGGAAUCUUGCACAAUGGGGGAAACCCUGAUGCAGCGACGCCGCGUGAGCGAUGAAGCCCUUCGGGGUGUAAAGCUCUUUCGGCAGGGACGAUAAUGACGGUACCUGCAGAAGAA